rfam:Ornithorhynchus anatinus chromosome 1, whole genome shotgun sequence.
CCCCUCUCAGGGUCGCACCUGGAGAGUUCCCAGUACUGUACCGGUCUUGAAUUCCAGAGGGGGAGUCAAGCAGUGGCAUGCCCAUUCCAUUCCUAGCUUGGCCAGUAGCUAGUGAGUGGAAGGCAAUCUGCUACAAGU